rnacentral:rRNA from 1 species
AUUGAACGCUGGCGGCAGGCCUAACACAUGCAAGUCGAACGGUAGCACAGAGAGCUUGCUCUCGGGUGACGAGUGGCGGACGGGUGAGUGAUGUCUGGGAAACUGCCCGAUGGAGGGGGAUAACUACUGGAAACGGUAGCUAAUACCGCAUAACGUCUUCGGACCAAAGUGGGGGACCUUCGGGCCUCACACCAUCGGAUGUGCCCAGAUGGGAUUAGCUAGUAGGUGGGGUAAUGGCUCACCUAGGCGACGAUCCCUAGCUGGUCUGAGAGGGUGACAAGCCACACUGGGACUGAGAGACGGCCCAGACUCCUACGGGAGGCAGCGGUGGGGAAGAGUGCACAAUGGGCGCAAGCCUGAUGCAGCCAUGCCGCGUGGAUGAAGAAGGCCUUCGGGUUGUAAAGUACUUUCAGCGGGGAGGAAGGCGAUGUGGUUAAUAACCGCAUCGAUUGACGUUACCCGCAGAAGAAGCACCGGCUAACUCCGUGCCAGCCGCCGCCGUAACAC